rnacentral:rRNA from 1 species
AGAACGAACGCUGGCGGCAGGCCUCAAACAUGCAAGUCUAGGGGGUGUAGCAAUACAUCACCGGCGGACGGGUGCGUAACACGUGGGAAUGUACCUACUGGUUCGGAACAACGCAGGGAAACUUGCGCUAAUACCGAAUAAGCCCGAAAGGGGAAAGAUUUAUCGCCAGUAGAUCAGCCCGCGUAGGAUUAGCUAGUUGGUGGGGUAAUGGCCCACCAAGGCUCCGAUCCUUAGCUGUUCUGAGAGGAAGAUCAGCCACACUGGGACUGAGACACGGCCCAGACCCCUACGGGAGGCAGCAGUUGGGAAUCUUGGACAAUGGGGGAAACCCUGAUCCAGCCAUGCCGCGUGAGUGAUGAAGGCCUUCGGGUUGUAAACUCUUUCGACGGGGACGAUAAUGACGGUACCGCAGAAGAGCUCCGGCUAACUUCGUGCCAGCAGCCGC